UGUUCUUUUUUUCUGAAUAAAUGGUUUUGGCCUGAGAAAGAAACUAAAGCUUCGUCCGUUGUUUGCCUGCACCUACCUCCUUCAUGAGAAGCCUUCUAGGAUUCAUGUCCCCUCCAAAAUCUGAUUACGUCUACAAACAAUGGAGGUUGCGAUAGGGGAGACGAGUCUUCGUAAGUAAUCUAUGCAUCGAUCACAUGUUGUGUCGUUUCGCGAUCGAUUCUUCUCCCCCGAGCCGUUACGAGUUUCAUUUGUUGAUGGCUUCUUCCUCGCUGAUAUCGAAGGUUAAAUUUCUUUUCUCGGGAAUUAUAACAAACUUAUGAGGCUAAUAUGAUAGGGUGGCUUUAGAAGUGAACGAUGAUGAGCUUGAGAUGGUUGGUUCGGAAUGCUGGUGUUGUGCUGUUUCAAAGAGAAAUCCCAGACUCCAUCAACAUUCAAGUUGCUAAGGUUGUGAAGAGAGUAGUUGUUCCGGUCAUCCUUGACGUGGGGGAAUGGAUACGCCAAUCUCGAAUGAGCCAUUGGAUUCAGUCGACGUCUUAAGCUCGAAUGAAACUGAGCUUAGUCACCUGACCGGAAUCCAUACUGAAACUUUUGAACAGAUCAGCCAAGGCUGUCGCAAAGUGCCAUAAGUUAGUAUGUAAGUAUUCUUUUGCACAUUUCCAGUACUUAAACUCCCAAAUUUUGGUUAAUGGCUUAGUGGGUUUUGGGUCUGCAACGAGUUGAAAUUACUGCUGCGUAUUAACCAAAACCAUAUUGUUUUCUUCAUCGCUCAACCUCCGUUGAGCAUCUCUCGGAUAAAAGGUUUCUACUUUCUGGGGAGCUCCGCUGUCCAUCACGCCCCUCAACAUCUUCAGUCACCGAGCCCUAUAAACUACGCUCCACUGCUCCUCUUACCGCAAGCCAUUGUACCGGAGCUGUGAGACUUUUGGCCAGAUCUACUCAGUACGUGUACGAGUGCAGAACAUUGAUCAGAUCUCCUUCGCUGCUCUCCCUCCUUCUCCUCUGCUUCGCCUCUCCUCUCCUCUCCUCUCUUCCGGUUCAAUUUACUCCCGGACGAAGAGUCACUUCUCCACCGUGCAUCACCGUGUAUACAUCAGAACCGAGCCUAACACCAUCUCUCCCCUCCGCCGUUGUAUCCCUUUCGACUGUUCGCUGCAGUUCAGCGUCGACAUUACCCUCCAUGUAACAAAGCAUCCCAUUGUUCGUUAUAUACAUGGAUUAAUUUUUACGAUGACUAUCUCUAUUCAUCUUUGGAAGAGAUACCUCUAUGAAUACAACUGAAAUA